CCGCGGGAUUAGAGUUUGAUCCUGGCUCAGAAUCAACGCUGGCGGCGUGCCUAACACAUGCAAGUCGAACGAGAAAGGGACUUCGGUCCUGAGUAAAGUGGCGCACGGGUGAGUAACACGUGACUAACCUACCCUGGAGUGGGGAAUAACUUCGAGAAAUCGAGGCUAAUACCGCAUAACACCUACGGGUCAAAGGAGCAAUUCGCUUCAGGAGGGGGUCGCGGCAGAUUAGCUAGUUGGCGGGGUAAUGGCCCACCAAGGCUUUGAUCUGUAUCCGGCCUGAGAGGGCGCACGGACACACUGGAACUGAAACACGGUCCAGACUCCUACGGGAGGCAGCAGUGGGGAAUUUUGCGCAAUGGGGGAAACCCUGACGCAGCAACGCCGCGUGGAGGAUGAAGUAUCUUGGUACGUAAACUCCUUUCGACCGGGACGAUUAUGACGGUACCGGAAGAAGAAGCCCCGGCUAACUUCGUGCCAGCAGCCGCGGUAAUACGAGGGGGGCAAGCGUUGUUCGGAAUUAUUGGGCGUAAAGGGUGCGUAGGCGGCCCCGCAAGUCUUGUGUGAAAUCUUCAGGCUCAACUUGAAGUCUGCAUAGGAAACUGCGGGGCUGGAGUAUGGGAGAGGUGAGUGGAAUUCCUGGUGUAGCGGUGAAAUGCGUAGAUAUCAGGAGGAACACCUGUGGCGAAAGCGGCUCACUGGACCAUAACUGACGCUGAGGCACGAAAGCUAGGGGAGCAAACAGGAUUAGAUACCCUGGUAGUCCUAGCCCUAAACGAUGAUCGCUUGGUGUGGCGGGUACCCAAUCCCGUCGUGCCGU
rnacentral:rRNA from 1 species